rnacentral:hammerhead_ribozyme from 1 species
GUACUGAUGAAGAGUCCCAAACUAGGACGAAGCAGCCGUCCGGUAC